rnacentral:rRNA from 1 species
UUGCACCGGGUGGAUGAGUGGCGAACGGGUGAGUAACACGUGAGUAACCUGCCCUUCACUUCGGGAUAACCUCGGGAAACGGGGGCUAAUACCGGAUAUGACGCGUCCUCGCAUGGGGGUGUGUGUAAAGAUUUAUCGGUGGAGGAUGGGCUCGCGGCCUAUCAGCUUGUUGGUGGGGUGAAGGCCUACCAAGGCUUCGACGGGUAGCCGGCCUGAGAGGGUGACCGGCCACACUGGGACUGAGAUACGGCCCAGACUCCUACGGGAGGCAGCAGUGGGGAAUAUUGCACAAUGGGCGAAAGCCUGAUGCAGCGACGCCGCGUGAGGGAUGACGGCCUUCGGGUUGUAAACCUCUUUCAGUAGGGAAGAAGCCUUCGGGUGACGGUACCUGCAGAAGAAGCGCCGGCUAACUACGUGCCAGCAGCCGCGGUAAUACGUAGGGCGCAAGCGUUGUCCGGAAUUAUUGGGCGUAAAGAGCUCGUAGGCGGUUUGUCGCGUCUGCUGUGAAAACGCGGGGCUUAACUCCGCGCCUGCAGUGGGUACGGGCAGACUAGAGUGCGGUAGGGGAGACUGGAAUUCCUGGUGUAGCGGUAAAAUGCGCAGAUAUCAGGAGGAACACCGGUGGCGAAGGCGGGUCUCUGGGCCGUUACUGACGCUGAGGAGCGAAAGCAUGGGUAGCGAACAGGAUUAGAUACCCUGGUAGUCCAUGCCGUAAACGUUGGGCACUAGGUGUGGGGCCUGUUUCCACGGGUUCCGUGCCGUAGCUAACGCAAUAAGUGCCCCGCCUGGGG